rnacentral:lncRNA from 1 species
UGGGUUUUCCUCUCUCCCAAAGAUGCUCUACAGAACUAUACAGGGGGGAACCUGACAGUGACUGGCCCCAAGGAGACUGCCUCCAUCUUUGCCACCUAUCCUGCCCCUUAUUUGUCCCUGAACAAUGGCUUCCUGGAUCAGGUAGGUGAGAGGAGCAGAACUGGAAAAGUUUAACCUUUUCCCUUCACUUGGGACCCCAGCCAAUUGUUCUGGGUGGAAUAUGGAGCUAGUUCUACUUUGGUACCCCACCAGCCCCCAGCUGCUUGUGUUGAACAAAGCGAGGUGACAUGGGGGUCAUAGUUUGGAGUGUUUGGGUGAGGGCAAAUGGAGCACCUGGCAACUAAUGACCAGGACCCCUCUGUCUGAAGGUUUUGGGCACUGGGAUCCUGAUUGUGGGGCUCUUGGCCAUCCUGGACGGACGCAACAAGGGAGUACCUGUGGGUCUGGAGCCCGUGGUGGUGGGGCUGCUGAUCCUAGUCAUCGGACUAUCCAUGGGUGUCAACUGUGGGUUCCCACUCAACCCUGCCAGAGAUCUGGGUCCACGGCUCUUCACCUACUUGGCUGGCUGGGGCCCUGAAGUCUUCAGGUGGGAGACAUCUUCCCUGGAUGCGGUCCUUAACUCACCUCUCUCUGCUAAUGGCUCUGUCCCUGGGUCCCUAGCUUUCUCCUCUUAAAUAGUUCUCUUGCCCUCUUAGGACAGCGUUCCUCACUCUCCCCUGUCCUUUCACUGAAACAGUUAAGAUUUAGAGGUUGUAUUCUGGGGAACGUCAUAUUAUUUCUUUGGGCAUUAGUGACCUACCUCAUCAGCAAAUGGGUAUAUUCAGAUAAUUCCCUAAGGCUAGAGGCUGGACUAAGUUCUUCUGGUGGUCUCUCCUCUCUCUUCUCGUGUCUUUCACUCCAGGAACUACUUUAGGGAGCUCCCUUGGUUACUGGCGCAGUCCUUGAGGAGAGGGGAGACUAAGGGAACCAUUCCUCAUGCGUCUCUUUUGUCCUUCUCUUGCAGUGCUGGCAAUGGCUGGUGGUGGGUGCCUGUGGUGGCCCCUUUGGUGGGGGCUACCCUUGGCACAGCCACAUACCAGCUGCUGGUGGCUCUGCACCACCCUGAAGACUCAGAGCAAGGUCAGAAAAAAGCCUCAGACUUGGAAACUCCUGCCUCGGUUCAGAUGCCCAGCCUCAAGGCCUCUAGGAACGCAGUUGCUAAAAGUAGCCACGAGGGGGUGUCCACGCUGGACGCUGGCUUGGGAGGGCUGCGGGAGUCUGCGGGGUGGAGGGCCGACGGGGGAACUUUCCUCUAGUCGGGGCCUGGCGGGGAACUUGCCUCCAAACCUGGGUCCCCUCUGCCCGACUUCCAGCUCUUGUAAGCCCAGCGUCGCGCGCCUUUGCCCCACAGGGGCGCUUCGCGGACGGUCAUUAGCGGCGGGGAAGCCGCUCCAUCCAGGGGGCGUGGUGGGGCGGCGGAGCACGGACCGUCCCUCGCCUGGUAGGCAGGGAGAGAAAGGCGAGAGACGAGGCACGACCUCUUCCAGGCUAACCCGAGGCUGUGUCGUUCUCGGAGAGCGAAAUGCCACGGGAGGAGCCCGGGCGAGGAGCCUGAGGCGGCCGGCUGCGGGGUGUGAGUCGGGGCCACGGGGAAGCUGGCGGCGAGGAGGAUUCGAGCUCGCCGCUUCUCCCGCCCUCUCGUCCCUCCGGGCCGAAGAUGCGCUUUUUGCAAAGAAGGCAGCAUUUCUCAUUCGCUUUCUUACGAAUUAAAAGGAAAAACCUCGCUACCUGGCUUCCCGGGUU